AGUUAGAAAGCGAAUUUUGCAUUUAGUUUCGACCUAAACUUUGGCCUAUGCCUCUAAUUUUGAUAG
rnacentral:tRNA from 1 species